GCAGUCCUUUAGCAUCCUCGCCGCGCCCUGAGCGCGCUGGAGGCUCGCAGGCUGCGCCCUCCCAGGGCUGAUGCCGCGUCCUGCUCCGCCGUUCUGGGACGUCGGGGACAAAAGUGGAGGAGACGGGAGAGCCCGGGCAGAAAAAGCAGGACGCGCGUCCCAGCUGCCGUGAAGAUGCCAAACCCACCAAGACUGCGCUGCCCCACCUCUCCGAGGCUGUCCUGGGAGUGCGGGUGACCCGCGAGCUCCAGAAUCUUUCCUUAAGGUGGAGCCACAGCGCCACCUCGCGAUCCUCCAGCUUCCCUCCCUCAUGGCCACGGAAGGCUGGCCCUUUCUGGUCCAAGCCCCCAGGGUCCCACACUUACUGGUUUUCCAUGCACUUUCAUUAUUUCCCUUUCUCUCUCUUCAAUGUUCCCUUAUCCUGAGUAUUGAGGUCCCCAAACGCGCCUUUCUACCCCACGUUUGGACAUAGCCGGAAUGUCUACCUCCUUCUCCAUCCGGUGAAGCACUGCUC
rnacentral:lncRNA from 1 species